rnacentral:sRNA from 1 species
GAGCAGUAGGUGCGGUAUUCCAAAUACGUUUAAAAACCCGCGAUAUAGUGCUGGACGAUCGGAAAAGUUGACCAAUACUCAUAAGUACUGGCGCGGCAUCUCCCCCCAAGUGACUCGCCAGCGAAGGUACCGUGGACCGCGUACCUUGAUUACUCCUAAUGGUCUUAACCCGGAUUCACCCCCCAGAACCCGG